UACGGAGGGUGCGAGCGUUGUUCGGAAUCAUUGGGCGUAAAGCGCGUGUAGGCGGCUUGGUAAGUCGGGUGUGAAAUCCCGGGGCCCAACCCCGGAACUGCAUUCGAAACUACCUCGCUAGAGUCCCGGAGAGGAAGGCGGAAGUCCCGGUGUAGAGGUGAAAUUCGUAGAUAUCGGGAGGAACACCAGCGGCGAAGGCGGCCUUCUGGACGGUGACUGACGCUGAGACGCGAAAGCGUGGGGAGCAAACAGG
rnacentral:rRNA from 1 species